GUAGCUUAGCAUAUCAAUAAGCGGAGGAAAAGAAACCAACAGGGAUUGCCCCAGUAACGGCGAGUGAAGCGGCAACAGCUCAAAUUUGAAAUCUGGCUUCGGCCCGAGUUGUAAUUUGUAGAGGAUGCUUUUGGUGAGGUGCCUUCUGAGUUCCCUGGAACGGGACGCCAGAGAGGGUGAGAGCCCCGUAUAGUUGGACACCGAGCCUCUGUAAAGCUCCUUCGACGAGUCGAGUAGUUUGGGAAUGCUGCUCAAAAUGGGAGGUAUAUCUCUUCUAAAGCUAAAUACUGGCCAGAGACCGAUAGCGCACAAGUAGAGUGAUCGAAAGAUGAAAAGCACUUUGAAAAGAGGGUUAAAUAGUACGUGAAAUUGUUGAAAGGGAAGCGCUUGUGACCAGACUUGUGCCCGGCUGAUCAUCCAGUGUUCUCACUGGUGCACUCUGCCGGGCUCAGGCCAGCGUCGGUUCUCGCAGGGGGACAAAAGCUUCGGGAACGUAGCUCCUCCGGGAGUGUUAUAGCCCGUUGCUCAAUACC
rnacentral:rRNA from 1 species